rnacentral:rRNA from 1 species
GACGAACCGUGCGAACGUUGUUCGGAAUCGCUGGGCGUAAAGGGUGCGUAGGCGGGUCUUUAAGUCAGGGGUGAAAUCCUGGAGCUCAACUCCAGAACUGCCUUUGAUACUGAAGAUCUUGAGUUCGGGAGAGGUGAGUGGAACUGCGAGUGUAGAGGUGAAAUUCGUAGAUAUUCGCAAGAACACCAGUGGCGAAGGCGGCUCACUGGCCCGAUACUGACGCUGAGGCACGAAAGCGUGGGGAGCAAACAGG